rnacentral:tRNA from 1 species
GGGAGCAUCGCCAAGCGGUAAGGCAAGGGUCUGCAAAACCCUCAUCCCCGGUUCGAAUCCGGGUGCUCCCUCCA